rnacentral:rRNA from 1 species
AUCCUAUCGAGACCCCAGGUCAGUCGGGAACACCCGCUGAAUUUAA